UACGUAGGGUGCGAGCGUUAAUCGGAAUUACUGGGCGUAAAGCGUGCGCAGGCGGUUCGCCAAGUCAGGUGUGAAAUCCCCGGGCUCAACCUGGGAAUUGCGCUUGAAACUAGCGAGCUUGAGUGUGGCAGAGGGGGGUGGAAUUCCACGUGUAGCAGUGAAAUGCGUAGAGAUGUGGAGGAACACCGAUGGCGAAGGCAGCCCCCCUGGGUCAACACUGACGCUCAUGCACGAAAGCGUGGGGAGCAAACAGG
rnacentral:rRNA from 1 species